CUAAUAAUCGAGUUACUGACCUCAAUAACCUUUAGUUUUCAGUUACUGACACCUAAUAAUCACUUAAUUUUCAGUUACUGACACCCAAUAAUCACUUAUUGACCCUUGUUUACCCAUUUUCACCAACCAUUAUUCUUGCACUUGCACAAAAAUUUUACAUUUAAAUAACGAAAAGGAAUGAGGAUUGGCAAAGUUAUAGUUGGAAAAAAAAAAAAAAAAAAAGAAAGAUAAUUAAGCUAAACAUACACAAAGUCCAAAGGAGGGGAGGAUAGCAGCAAGUUGAGGAUCCACUUGCUCGUCCGGCGUAAGCUCUGUGAUCAUCUUUCUCUGUCCGAGGAAACAAAGCCAUCAAAACUAAUCCAAGUGGAGCGGAAUGAACCAACUCAAAGCUACAACACCACCAUUAUUAAACCCACAUAAAUCCACCCUCCUUCUCUUCCUCUCUUUCUCUUUCUCUCCCACCACCACCAUUCCAUGAUCAUAUAUAUCUCUCCCCCAUUAACCCUAAAACCAAGCUUUGUCCAUAAACACCUCAGCUUCAUAGAGCGAGUCGGAUCGGCGCAAAUGCCUUCCUCAUGGAGUCCGUGAUCGGCAACACGGCGAGGACUCGCUUGUUGCAGUUGCGCUCACGAAGGAGGAGCUUGAGGACCCACCGCUAAACCAGAUCCCGGAGGUCGGAGCAAGAGAGACCGGUCGUCGUGGUCCGGUGGUCGUCAUCCAGAUCUUCUUCGUCUGAAUCGAAGCAUCGGCGUCCUCGAUGUCGAGACUUUGUCGCCGUCGGCGUUGAAGAUGAGAGAGAGAGAGAUGGUUAGUUGGAUUCAGAUCGGAUAGGAUAAUAGAGAUGGUUAGUUGAUAUGAAGUAAGGAUAUAUUUGUCUUUUUAAUAAGAAUUAUUGGAAUGGGUUAUGGGAAAAAAAAUUCAUUCAAAUAUGUUUUAGUUUUCAAAUAUUUAAGUAUUAAGGCAUUUUUCUAUAAUAAUUUACUUCUCCUAAUUUGAUCUGGUAAUAGAACACAUAUAACCGUUUUCUUCCACCAAAGGACAGCCGUGGAAGGAAAAUAACCCAAGCAUCGGCAGCUGGAAUAUAUGGCGAUAAAGCAAGUUUUUAUAAGUGUCAUUUCCUUAGUAUGUAAGAUACAUUGGCCGAUAUCCAAGGUCGUCGCUAUUUUUGUGGCUGCUAUAUUGAAGGCCUUGUAGACUUUAUUUGGUGCUUUGGUCAGUCCAUCUAUGAGGCUAGAAACAGAGAUUAACUUAACUUUUUUUCUUUCUCACUUGGUUACAUAUAUUCACAUACAUUAAUUCAAUCAAAAUCUUUGCAGAGAUGUCGGAUAAAUUCACUUGGUUCUGGCUAUAUCACAGCGCAGGGUCGAGAUAGCGCAGACAGCGCUACUGGUUUCGUGUUCAAAGAUUGUUGAUAGGAGCAUAAAAUGCGAUGAUUUUAUAGUUUAACCUUUGCAUUUAACUUAGCUAUUUUCCUUUAAAAAGAUCGUUUUAACUUUGUUAUUUUCUUAGGUACUUCGUGGAGCAAGAUAAUGCAAAUAUGUGUUCAAGUGAUGCAAGCAAGGCUUCCAAUACGAAGUAGAGAUGUCAAGGAUGGAGUUUGAUCAUUCAUAUGGUCAAAAAUAUCAAAGAAAGGCGAUGGAACCACUUCACCAAAACAGAAGCUACAAACACAAAAAGCUGAAAACUGGUUUCUGCUUAUUUUCUCCGGUUUUCAAGGCCUAUUUCCAUGAGGUUCCGAGAAUGGUUC
rnacentral:lncRNA from 1 species